rnacentral:rRNA from 1 species
CACAAGGGUUCCACCUCUUCCCAUUCCGAACAGAGAAGUUAAGCCUUGUCACGCCGAUGGUACUGCGUCACAGUGGGAGAGUAGGUAGCCGCCGUUU